GUGGCAGCUACUGAAGCACUCUCUCUCAAAUCUGAACUCUCAAUACUGCACAAGAGGUAAGAAGGGUAAGAGGAAAUGAGAGGAGAUAGAGAUAUCGAGGAUGUUUUGAUUUGGGUUCUGCCAAUGGGAGGACCGAAGAUGCAGAGGAGAGAAAGAAAAAGAAGAUGAAGAGGGAGAGCCUUCAGCAAUUAGAUAUGCUUGGAUCGAAAUUCCAAGGGAUGAGAAGAGAUGAGUUUUGCAGUAGAAUCUCAGCUAAAACAGGGAAUGCCUUGAGCAAUGUAAGGAAGCUGUUGCAUUACUGAUGGUUGCUGUAGCUAGAUUUUCCGAUUUACCAGAGUACGUUGUCUGACAUUAGGCAACUAUUUCAAGAGAGAUAUGCGAACUCUCU